rnacentral:lncRNA from 1 species
AGACGGAGUCCCGCUCUGUCACGCAGGCUGCCAGGCUGGCGUACAGUGGCGCAAUCUCAGCUCGCUGCAACCUCCACCUCCUGGGUUCAAGCGAUUUUCUUGCCUCUGCCUCCUGAGUAGCUGGGAUUACUGGCACACACCACCAUGCACAGGGAGAUAUGAGACAUCAAUCAAUAUAUGUAAGAUGUACAUCAGUUUCGUCUGGAAAGAUGGGACAACAUGAAGCAGGGAGGGGGCUCCCUGGUGACAGUUCCUUGUUCAAAAUGCCAAGAACCUGGAUGACUCAUAGUCAAGACCCUCCACCAGUAACAUAUAUUGGCGAGCCAGCCAGGAGACCACUACAGGAAACACUCCAUUUAUUCCACCUGACUUCCCACUUGGCUGCAUCCUCAACCAUUGAAAUGAAUUUGACCCUGAUAAUCUAAGGAGGAAACAUUUGAUAUUCUUUUGCAAUAAUACUUGGCCCCAGUAUUGUUUGGAAUCUGGAGUUUGCUGUUGAAUGGGAAAGCAGGAUGACGUUGCAUGUAUCCAGGCUUUGGUGCUGCUGUCCUAAGAAGGGUCAGGCCUAGUCAGCAUAUGGUGCUCUCCUUUGGUGCUAUUUGGCUCCAGUGUCUUUGGAGUCUGAGGAGGUUUGGCCUUUAAAAAUCAAACUGCCACCGGAACUGCUUUAAAAAUGUUUGGUUCACAGCCUUCACUGGAUUACCUAUUGGAGCAAACAAAGUGUAACCAUGUAAAACCUGUGAGCUUGUAUUGAUAUCUCAUGGCUAGAGUUCCAAGGUAAAAGCUAUUGGAUCUUCGUUUGUGUGUGUGUAUACAUGUCUAGAUGUGUUUAUUUGUAUGUACACUUAUUGUUAUAUGUUGUGUCAACCAAAUCAGCUUAUAAAUAAAAAAGCACUCAUAAAUUAAAUAAAUAA